GACGAACGCUGACGGUGUGCUUUAGACAUGCAAGUCGAACGAGAAAGCCCUUCGGGGUUAGUAAAGUGGCGAACGGGUGAGUAACACGUGGGCAAUCUGCCCCUCGCAGGGGGACGAACCGGAGGAAACUCCGGCUAAUACCCCGUAAGUUCAAAGGGAGGCAUCUCUCUUCGAAGAAAGGUAGCUUCGGCCAUCCGGCGAGGGAUGAGCCCGCGGUGCAUUAGCUAGUUGGUGGGGUAACGGCCUACCAAGGCGACGAUGCAUAGCUGGUCUGAGAGGAUGAUCAGCCACACUGGGACUGAGACACGGCCCAGACUCCUACGGGAGGCAGCAGUCGGGAAUCUUGCGCAAUGGGCGAAAGCCUGACGCAG
rnacentral:rRNA from 1 species